GCCUGGUCCAAGUGCAAUGGUGUCUACAACGAAUUGAUCACAACCAGUUACAGAUUUUUUUGUUCCUUCUCCACUCCUGCUGCUUCACUUGACUAACCUAAA
rfam:Nomascus leucogenys chromosome 4, whole genome shotgun sequence.